CGUAGGGUGCGAGCGUUGUCCGGAAUUAUUGGGCGUAAAGGGCUCGUAGGCGGUCUGUCGCGUCGAAGGUGAAAACUCAGGGCUUAACCCUGAGCCUGCUUCCGAUACGGGCAGACUAGAGGUAUGCAGGGGAGAACGGAAUUCCUGGUGUAGCGGUGGAAUGCGCAGAUAUCAGGAGGAACACCGGUGGCGAAGGCGGUUCUCUGGGCAUGACCUGACGCUGAGGAGCGAAAGUGUGGGGAGCGAACAGG
rnacentral:rRNA from 1 species